UACGUAGGGUGCGAGCGUUAAUCGGAAUUACUGGGCGUAAAGCGUGCGCAGGCGGUUUUGUAAGACAGAUGUGAAAUCCCCGGGCUUAACCUGGGAACUGCAUUUGUGACUGCAAGACUAGAGUACGGCAGAGGGGGGUAGAAUUCCACGUGUAGCAGUGAAAUGCGUAGAUAUGUGGAGGAACAUCGAUGGCGAAGGCAAUCCCCUGGACCUGUACUGACGCUCAUGCACGAAAGCGUGGGGAGCAAACAGG
rnacentral:rRNA from 1 species